rnacentral:rRNA from 1 species
CCUACGGGAGGCAGCAGUGGGGGAUAUUGCACAAUGGGGGAAACCCUGAUGCAGCGACGCCGCGUGUGGGCAGACGGUCCUCUGGAUUGUAAACCACUGUCCCCAGGGACGAAGAUGACGGUACCUGGGGAGGCAGCUCCGGCUAACUACGCGCCAGCAGCCGCGGUAAUACGUAGGGAGCGAGCGUUGUCCGGAAUUACUGGGUGAAAAGGGAGCGUAGGCGGGACUGCAAGUUGGGUGUCAAAUCUACCGGCUCAACCGGUAGCCGCACUCAAAACUGCAGUUCUUGAGUGAAGUAGAGGCAGGCGGAAUUCGUAGUGUAGCGGUGAAAUGCGUAGAUAUGAGGAGGAACACCAGUGGCGAAGGCGGCCUGCUGGGCUUUUACUGACGCUGAGGCUCGAAAGUGUGGGGAGCAAACAGGAUUAGAUACCCCAGUAGUC